GGUGUCAGUGAUGGGAACUGAACCCAGGUUCUCUGGAAGGACAGCAACUGCCAUUAACCAAGCUGAGGACUGAACGCAGGACCUUCCCUCACUAAGGAGAUCUACUCCUAACCUGGAUCUUGAGGUGGGAAGACACAUGCCUUGAAUCUGGAUCACACCUUCCGCCAGAAGCCUAUAGAAGGACAUGGAAGAAAGAAGCUUCUUGCCUGGUUGCCCUCCUUGCUAGCCCAGCCAUUCCUUCACCGGCAUUAGAGUCUACUUCUUCGGGAUUCCAGCAUCUACUG